UUAUCCGGAUUUACUGGGUGUAAAGGGAGCGUAGACGGAUGGACAAGUCUGAUGUGAAAGGCUGGGGCUCAACCCCGGGACUGCAUUGGAAACUGCCCGUCUUGAGUGCCGGAGAGGUAAGCGGAAUUCCUAGUGUAGCGGUGAAAUGCGUAGAUAUUAGGAGGAACACCAGUGGCGAAGGCGGCUUACUGGACGGUAACUGACGUUGAGGCUCGAAAGCGUGGGGAGCAAACAGGAUUAGAUACCCUGGUAGUCCACGCGGUAAACGAUGAAUGCUAGGUGUCGGGGAGCAAAGCUCUUCGGUGCCGCCGCAAACGCAUUAAGCAUUCCACCUGGGGAGUACGUUCGCAAGAAUGAAACUCAA
rnacentral:rRNA from 1 species